GACGAACGCUGGCGGCGUGCUUAACACAUGCAAGUCGAACGGUGAAGCGCCUUCCUUUUUGGUGGGUGUGGAUGAGUGGCGAACGGGUGAGUAACACGUGAGUAACCUGCCCCCUUCUUCUGGAUAACCGCAUGAAAGUGUGGCUAAUACGGGAUAUUCUGGGUCUGUCGCAUGAUGGGUCUGGGAAAGAUAUUGUUUCGGUGGGGGAUGGGCUCGCGGCCUAUCAGCUUGUUGGUGGGGUGAUGGCCUACCAAGGCGGUGACGGGUAGCCGGCCUGAGAGGGUGGCCGGCCACACUGGGACGGAGGCACGGCCCAGACUCCUACGGGAGGCAGCAGUGGGGAGUAGUGCACAAUGGGCGCAAGCCUGAUGCGGCGACGCCGCGUGAGGGAUGGAGGCCUUCGGGUUGUGAACCUCUUUCGCCAGUGAAGCAGGCCUGCCUCGUUUGUGGGUGGGUUGACGGUAGCGGGAUAAGAAGCGCCGGCUAACUACGUG
rnacentral:rRNA from 1 species